rnacentral:rRNA from 1 species
UUAGUAUUGGAGGCACUGCCUGCCCAGUGACGACCGUUAAACGGCCGCGGUAUCCUGACCGUGCAAAGGUAGCAUAAUCACUUGUUCUCUAAAUAGGGACUUGUAUGAAUGGCCACACGAGGGUUUUACUGUCUCUUACUUCCAAUCAGUGAAAUUGACCUUCCCGUGAAGAGGCGGGAGUAUAUUAAUAAGACGAGAAGACCCUAUGGAGCUUUAACUACUUAGCCCAAAGAAACAAACUUUAUUACUAAGGAAACAACAACACUCUUUAUGGGCUAACAGCUUUGGUUGGGGUGACCUCGGAGAACAAGAAAACCUCCGAGCGAUUUUAAAGACUAGACCUACAAGUCGAACCACACAAUCGUUUAUUGAUCCAAAAAUUUGAUCAACGGAACAAGUUACCCUAGGGAUAACAGCGCAAUCCUAUUCAAGAGUCCAUAUCGACAAUAGGGUUUACGACCUCGAUGUUGGAUCAGGACAUCCCGAUGGUGCAACCGCUAUCAAAGGUUCGUUUGUUCAACGAUUAAAGUCCUACGUGAUCUGAGUUAA